AAUGGGAAAAGUAAGGAUAGCUUCUUUUAGGGAAGAGUAAUUCAAUGUUUUGUUUUAGGCAUUUUGGAUGAUAUACAUCAAUUACAAUGUAAAAUUAACCCAUGCAUCAAUACAUAUUACAACCGAAUUCGUUGGUUAGGCUAUCAUUAGGUAGUAAACCGUGUCUCGGUACGAACCACGCUCAUUCGAUCCGGGCUUCCGAACCGAUCAAAUAUGGUUUACCUGCUACAGUAGUUCAACGGCCUACGCCAUAAAAAAGUAGACCAGAGCUCUUUUUUAACAAGAACAAUCGUAAUUUUUUCAACGUGUCAUAUGAUAGCUGUUUGAAAGCCUUAACAUUUAGGGAGCAUAACUAAUACAUGUGUUCCGCUAAAUGACCUACACCAGUACUUCCCAAACUGUGCGCCGCGAACCUUUCCCAGGUGCGCCGCAGGCUUUUGUGUUGUGACGAAAUCGAAAGAACAAUCUCUUAUUUGUAUUGCGGUACACCUUUAUGUUUCUUUUGUUUAGUAAAAAUAGUGUCGCUUCACAUCUUUCCCUGCGUCUUCAAGUGUUCCAUAGGAUUUCUGGCAUCCUUUUUAAACAUAUCAAUUGAAACCGAUUUUUUAACUUUUUAAAUUAAAAUUUUUGAAAUUGUUUUUGGACCUCUUAAGCUUCAGCUUAGCUUUUAAUUUUUUUAUAUUGUCCAAAAUUUUGAUUUCAAGAACCUUAUUUAAUUCUUUUCAGAAUAAUUACACGGUCUUCGGAACAGUUAAGCGGCAUGCAAGUGCCACAGUUGUAAUUUAUAAAAAUAAAAAGUUCAAUCAAAGCCCACCUAGCAGGUUCUUUACAAACUUUUCAUGUGUCUUAGUUUGCUGAAAUUUUCCUAAAUAAGUAAAAGUGUUUGGAAGUGUUGCUUUGCCAUUUCCGCAAAAAAUUUAAACAGGUCAAGUUCUGUGAAGUCAUUUUAAUUCAAUUAGAAUUCUUUAAUUUUUGCAAACACUUUAGAAAUUUUGACUGAAUUAUUAAAAGCAGCAGCUUGUUUUAUCUGUAUUUUGAGUUUUUUUUUUUCUUAUUUUAUUCUUAUUAUAAUAUAAAGCUUCUAUAAUAAAAUCAACAUGAUUUUUGAAAUCUUGCAAAUAUUUAAAUUAUCUUUGAGAAAUCUAUUUUUUUUUUUUUUUUUUUUCAAAGUGAUUACGGCGGUAGCAACACUGUGCUUAUGUUCUACACCGCACCCUUUCCCUACAUUUGCUUCUAGGAGCCUCUAUUUUUGUUUCAACACACAGAAGUACGUAGGCGUGCGUGGCCCAAGUCGACACUGUUUUGGCCUGCGUUGAACAAAAAUAGUUUUAACAAAAGUUUCCCCUUUUUUCUUGUUGUCAAUUGUUUUUUUUUUGUAGUAUGGUCCAUGUAAUUAGUUAGGUUCUUGUCAAUUUGUCAGUUAUUCGAAGCAGAUCUCCAAGGUAAUAGUAAAUUAAGUCAAUCUGAUCUGUUCUGACAUAGCAGCUUUAGUCUUUGCUUUAUUGAAGUGUAGUUUUAUUGGAAAUAUGCUGAAUGUCGUUAUUGAAAAGAGACGUCUAGAAAUGUAUUCUGCUAGUUGUUCCAUCAUGCACAUACGUCAUGUCUUAUUAAUGCCUAGGAGAUUAACGGUCAGCUGUCCAUUGCGUAGAAAGUCAAGGAAAAUAGGUUUCUUUAUUGUCAGUUGUUAUGCAAGCCUCGUUUGAUGCACUGUCCGCGAGAACUCGUCAUCUGUACACCAACUAACCCGUAUCUUCAAACACAGCUAAAUACUGUACUGUCAACCGGCGAAAAGCCUACGGGUAAAUAUUAAAACAUGAAUAAUAAUGCUGUCUAGCGAAUUGUUUCCUAUCGUCCAUAAUUGUAGUCUAGCCCCAACUGCAAGCUUUUUUCCAAUCUUAGCGUCAAUUGUCUUCUAGAUACUUCUAGAUAGAUUCAUCGAAUCAGUCGAACCUGUAUGUUAAAAUAUAGCCGAUCCUGUGUCAAAUUGUUUUCUUGAUUUCUACUUCUCUGUGUUCAUCUCUUGUGUCCUUAAAUUGUCAUCGGUCCAAAACCUACAGAAACAUGUAACUGAACUUCUGAUAUUUUUGCUGUUGGUGUCAUAACACCAUCUACGAGAUAAACAAAAAUACGCCAAGUUGGUCAGUUGAUUGUAAUAAAACAAAAAUUGCUUGUCAACUAUUAUGUAUUAACGUUGUUCAGUUAAUAAAAAGCAGUUAGUUUUUUGUCCAGUCCGAACUGUCACGUCAAACGCAAUGCGUUUAAGUGUUCGCACGUUAGCUUCGAAUCUAUCAACACAAUUAAGUGCUGCAAAUCUCCUUCCCACUAUUAAUUAUUUCGGUUGAUUUUAAUUGCUUCAUUUAAAGAAAAUAUAAUCAAGUACCCAACAUUAUAAAAAUUCGAAAAAGCGACUAUGACAUUAAAAAAUUACUAAUCAAAAUCAACCGAGAAACGUGGGAAAUAGAGCCCAAACAACAUUUUGAAAUCAGCUGACUGUAAAAGGUUCCAAAACCAGUCACAAAUCCUAUAAAACUUUUAUAAGAAUUUGUAACGAUCAUCAAAACCUUCUCAAAUCCAACCGAUUUGGAACUAUUGCUUGGGAAUAGACUCUACUGAGCCCUGGCGGUUCCUCCGUGUUUAUCGAGCAUGUCUGAUGCAUAUGAUCAGCCAUACUCCAUCUGCAGCAGCCGAUUCGUGAUGAACCGUUGGAGGCGCAUUAAAGUGUUAAUAAGGUGAUAUGUUUCACUAAAGAACACUACAUUACAAUAAUCAAAAUGAAACUCCUUCACUUUAAUACCGUCAAACCCUGCGAACUUGGCCAGGGAAUUAUCUUUGAGAAAUCUAUUUAAAAAUAUAGUUAGUUUUCCAAAUUUUCUCUAAAUUCUAAAAAAAAACAUGAUAUAAGAAGUGUUUCAAGAUUUUGCCUUUUACAUUUUAAAGUUAAAGUUCUAAAAAACUUUGUUAAAAACUUUGGUGCGCCGCGACAUUUUUGGAAAAUUUAAAGGGCGCCGCAAUAGCAAAAAGUUUGGGAACCUGCUUAUCAAUCAGUGCUUGCUAUUUUACGAGAAAAAGACAGCAGUUUGACGAAACUUUUGAAAUAAUUUAUAAUUAACCUUAUGGUAGAAAUCCUGAAAUCCCAAAAGAUCAUUUAAGAAUUUUCAGAAACUUUUUGAGAAAUUCAAGGAUUACUUUUUGCAGAAACAAACGGAGUAAUACUAGUGAAUUUUUUGAUUGAAUUACCACUAAAUGUUAUUCCUUAGGGCGAUAUUUACAAAAUGUUCUGAACAUUAAGCAAGAGAUACUUGAAAAAGUAUAAAUUUAUUGGAUCAUUUAUGAUAAGAGUUUCUGGUCACACCACACCUUUGGAAAUUAGGAUUGGAUGGAUAUUUCAGCAAAAUGUUCUUAUUCUAAGAAUUUCAAAAGCUUCAACAUUUUUUUCAAGUAUUUUGCAAAAAAAAUCUACCAAGAAAUCCUUUAAUCACUGUGCCCCUUACAACGGGUGCUCUGAUCGGAAAUCAUAGUGUUAGCAAAACAAAUUGUUUCACAAGUAGUAAUAAUUGAUUCAGGAAUUUCGUCAAUUCCAUCAUUCUGAAACUCAUCCAUAAUGAAUCAAGAAAUUCUUGCAUGUUUAAAAAAUCGCUAGCAAUUUCUAAUGAAUAAUAGGGGGAUUCACUCAACAGCGUAAACUGAUUAAACAUCGCGAUCACCAAGGCAAUCUUUGAUCAUGUCAUUCGCAAAAUCAUGAAACAUUUCAAAUAAGCAGAAAAUCAUGGCUUACGCAGCAAUUUAAUCUAUUUCGUGAGUACCCCUAAUAUUCAAUUUCAAUUAAAUUUAUUUCUGGAUUUCAACGUUACUACAUUUAAUAUUUACAUUUACAUUUCAGAGAUUUGGUUUACCUUUCAGCUGAAAACAAUACAAAUUCAUUUAAGAUACAUUAAUACAAAUAACAGAAAUUACUAGCUAAAUAUAGCUUUUUUAGGGAAAAGAGUUAAAAUACGCUAGAUUUCAGAAUGUCUUAAAACUAAUAUCACAGAUUUUGAGGGGAGAGUGCUCCGAUGAGCGGGUUUUCUGACAUCUCGCAGGACGUCCUGAAGGAUCUCGUGGCCCUUUCGAUGCUGGCAUCAAUGGUGUCGACACCGGCUAGCUUGUGGAGAUCGUCGAUCGGGUACCAGGGAUUCAAAUUGAGAACCAUUUUGAGUAGUUUGUUCUGCUUAACUUGCAGCCUCUUUCGAUGAGACUUGGCACAGUUGCCCCAAACUGCCGAUGCAUAGGUGAAUAUUGGCCGGAUGAUGCACUUGACCACCAGCAUCUUGUUUUUGAUGUGCAGUUUCGACCGUCGAUUCAGCAGGGAGUACAGCGCCUUGGUAGGCCGAUCAACUUUUCCGGCGACGUAGUUCACAUGUUUGUCGAACUUCAACUUCUUGUCGAACAGCACUCCCAGAUAUUUGACUUCAUCGUCCCAUGUAGUUGGCUGACCAUUGACAGUGAUCGACCUACGGGGAAGGUGUUGAGCAGCACGCCUCCGCGUGAAGAAAAUCGACUGCGUUUUGCCUGCAUUCAAUUUGAUUCGCCAUUUCCGUUGGAAUUCCUGGAGAUUGUUCAUCGCCGCUUGGAGGUGAGUAAUGACGAUUUGUGGAUCUUUGUCCGAUACCAGAAAAGCCGUG